rnacentral:rRNA from 1 species
ACUAGGAUUAGAUACCCUAUUAUUAUAAAUGUAAAAUUAAACUAGAUUAGUAUUAGUUAUGUUCUUGAAAAUUAAAAAUUUUGGCGGUUUUUUAGUCUAUUCAGAGGAACCUGUUCUGUAAAUGAUAGUCCACGAUUUAAAUGUCCUUUAUUAAUAGUUUGUAUAUCGUCGUAGUUUGAAUAUUUUAAAAGAAUUUAAAUAUUCAAAAUUUAUUUAAAUAAAAAAUAUCAGAUCAAGGUAUAGCUUAUAUAAAGGUAGAAAUGGGUUACAUUAAUUUUAAUUUUGGAUUAUUAAUUUAAAAUUAAUAUGAAAAAGGAUUUGAUAGUAAUUUUUAAAAAUUUUAAUAAUGAUUUUAGCUCUAAAAAAUGCACAUAUC